AAUUUUGCGCAAUGGGGGAAACCCUGACGCAGCAACACCGCGUGAAUGUUAAGCCCUUCGGGGUGUAAAGUUCUGUCAGUGGGGACGAAUUUUGACGGUACCCACAAAGGAAGCACCGGCUAACUCCGUGCCAGCAGCCGCGGUAAUACGGGGGGUGCAAGCGUUGUCCGGAAUCAUUGGGCGUAAAGCGUUCGUAGGCGGCAUGUCAAGUCUGGUGUUAAAGCCCGGGGCUCAACUCCGGUUCGGCACUGGAUACUGGCAAGCUAGAAUGUGGUAGAGGUAAGGGGAAUUCCUGGUGUAGCGGUGAAAUGCGUAGAUAUCAGGAGGAACAUCGGUGGCGAAGGCGCCUUACUGGGCCAUUAUUGACGCUGAGGAACGAAAGCCGGGGGAGCAAAUGGG
rnacentral:rRNA from 1 species